rnacentral:tRNA from 1 species
GCCGGGGUGGCGGAAUGGUAGACGCGGCGGACUCAAAAUCCGCUGUCCGCAAGGACGUGGGGGUUCGAAUCCCUUCCCCGGCACAA